rnacentral:rRNA from 1 species
GACGAACGCUGGCGGCGUGCUUAACACAUGCAAGUCGAACGGAAAGGCCCUGCUUUUGUGGGGUGCUCGAGUGGCGAACGGGUGAGUAACACGUGAGUAACCUGCCCUUGACUUUGGGAUAACUUCAGGAAACUGGGGCUAAUACCGGAUAGGAGCUCCUGCUGCAUGGUGGGGGUUGGAAAGUUUCGGCGGUCGGGGAUGGACUCGCGGCUUAUCAGCUUGUUGGUGGGGUAGUGGCUUACCAAGGCUUUGACGGGUAGCCGGCCCGAGAGGGUGACCGGCCACAUUGGGACUGAGAUACGGCCCAGACUCCUACGGGAGGCAGCAGUGGGGAAUAUUGCACAAUGGGCGGAAGCCUGAUGCAGCAACGCCGCGUGCGGGAUGACGGCCUUCGGGUUGUAAACCGCUUUCGCCUGUGACGAAGCGUGAGUGACGGUAAUGGGUAAAGAAGCACCGGCUAACUACGUG